AUAUAUAUAUAUAUAUAUACAUGUCUGGGUGAGCAGUGCCCUCUCCAAAUGGAGCUGCUCAGACACCCAUGCAGCAACCGAAUCCUACCGCUGUCUUGGGCUACAAGGAGACGACUUUAUAUCUAGC